rnacentral:lncRNA from 1 species
ACGUAGUGGGUUAACAGUAUCAUGUGAGGGGGAUAGUUACAUGUUAUGGUUAGCCACGCUCAUGUUUACGCAGUCCGAGUCGACUCUGGAGGCAUCCGCAGCAACAGCUUAAUGCAUGAAAUUGGGAUACAUUGCCUAUGACAGUUGUUUCCCCUUUUAACUGGGAUAUAAUCAUCGACGAAAAAAGCAAGAACUAUCAAUUUAUCAGAGCGGUCACGUACUGAUGAACACCAGGAAAAACCCUAUGUUUAGUACAGGUAGUACAGGCGCGCGAAAAAAAAGAAAGAAAAGUCACGCAGGCACCUAUAUCGGGCAGUCACGUAGCCACGCUAAAAAGAAAGAAAGAAGUCACACGUUUAUUUUGACUGGUGAAUCCAAUGCGCAUAAUAGUCACGACUUUUAAUGCGUGCACCUGAAAGGUUAUCGGUGCAGUGUUUGCAAUCUGCAGUGCGAUAACCAGUGCGAGAGGCAGGCGCCAAGUAAACGUAAACACCCCGUUUCACGGGGCAUUGCUCCUUAUCGCUUGUUGAGCGCUUUGUGUCACGUGUUUUGUGCAAAAAAGGACUACCGCAUCGUACGCAGUUUGGCCCUACAGUUCUCACUAUGACGCAGAAUUGCCGUUCAUAUUUAGAAGAUCCAGAACACUUAUUCCGGGGUCCAGAAUCGGCGUACGAAGUGUUUGUAAGCAAACACCUGCAAGGUCUGCGGUGUAGAACCUGCUACACUCGAGCAAGUGCUCCGGGGACGUGAGGCAGAUACUGAGGGCACCAAUCCCGAUGUCCUCUCGGCGAGGUGGGCCGAUGCCCUGCACAGCUCGGAGCUCGCCGACCAAAUCUGGGCCGUCCAAGCAGGCGCGCGAAGCGGCGUCUAGGCAAGGCCUGGACGUCUUGACGUGGGACACCUGAGCCCGGGUCAUCAAACUGCAGCAUACUCAAUAAAUGUUUUUUUACAAACCAA